rnacentral:lncRNA from 1 species
GUAGUAGUUUUAAUUAUAUGAGAAGGUUCAAAAUGGACAUAAGCGAGAAGGAAAAAGUUGUUAAUAGUAAUGGUCAAAGUAGCAACAGUGAUAGUAGUAACAGUGAGAGUAGUAACAGUGAUAGUAGCAGCGAGAAAGGCAACGGAAAUGAAAAGGUAGCAAAACAAGAGAGCGUUAACUUUAGUAAUCAUAAAUACAUUGAUUUUUUUCGAGAUGAAACAAGAAAUAUUGGAAUAAUAACAUUUAAAAAUAUAAAUACAAAAAAGAAUAUAUUUCAAGAAUUUUUAGAAGAGUUUAAAAACGUAAUAGAACAUAUAAAUAAUCUCAUAUCAAAUGAAGAAAGUAAAACUUCUCAUUAUAUAAAAGAGUUUAAAAAUACAGAUAAUUAUUUAGUGAAAAAUAUAAAAAACAGUAUACCAUAUUAUGAUAGUAAGUUAAAAAUAUUAAUAAUUAACAGUAGUUUGGUAAAACAAAAUGGAGUGGGUGAUAGUUUCAAUAAUAAAAAUAACUCCACUAGUGAUAGUAACGAAAAUAAUGACACUGAUUCAGCAGACAUUUUUUUAAACUCAUUAGAUUAUAACUCAUAUUUAAAAAAUGAUGAAAAACUUAAUAUACAUACAUCAAACAUGUUUCGAAUGUUAUGUAAUCAUAUACAGAGUUUGCCUCUUAUAACUAUUAGUAAUAUUAAUGGAUUGUGUUAUAAUUGUGGAAUGGAUAUUUUGUUUUCAAGCGAUUUUUGUAUUUCAAGUGAAAAGAGUAGAUUUGGAUUUGAUAAAACAUACAUUGGUUUAUAUCCAUAUGGAGGUAGUAUACAAAAGAUUUUUCGUCAAAUUUCUAUGAAUUAUUCUAAAUUUUUAUUAUUAACAAGUCAGGCAAUAAAUGCACAAGAUGCUUUAAAAAUGAAUUUAAUUGAUAUAUGUUUAAAAACGAAUGAACAUUUUUAUAUUAAAAAUUCGAAUGUCUCUUUUGAUCAAACAAAAACAAAUGAACAAAAAUUUACUAUUAUAAAAAAAGAAAUUAUUAAAUAUUUUCAU